UGUUAUUUCCUACACAGACACUCUUGUUGAC
rnacentral:piRNA from 1 species